rnacentral:lncRNA from 1 species
CCUAUCCAUUUUUUUACUUAUUCAUAAAUUCAUCAACCUAACAGGGCUUUUGGCAGUGGAUGCAUGUUCCAUUGAAUGAAAUACUGUACAAACAAGAAACUUUAGGCAACUUAAGAAGAGACAGAAUAUUCCAGUUCCAUAUACGUUAUCAUAUUUAACCAUCACCACAACUCCAUGAAAAAGCUAUUAUUAUUAUUUUUAAUAUGGGGAACAGAGGCUCAAACCACUAAGAACAUUGGUUUCCAAGAGGUCAAAAAAGGAAACAAGAGGUGCCUACAGGCAAUGGAACAAAAUAAUAUCAGAAGACUCCGCAACUUGAAUGAUCUUGGACCAUCACCAAGAUCAGCAGGACUUCCC